rnacentral:miRNA from 1 species
ACCAGAUGAUUAUGACGACG